GUCGAACGACCCGAACUAUGGCGGGAAGUGGCAGACUGCUCAGUAACACGUAGCUAACCUACCCUUGGGACGGGAAUAACCCCGGGAAACUGAGGUUAAUACCCGAUAGGUGUGGAAUCCUGGAAUGGUACCACGCCAAAAUGUAAACGCAUCCAUGUUUGCGUACACGCCCGAGGAUGGGGCUGCGGCCGAUCAGGCAGUUGGUGAGGUAACGGCUCACCAAACCUUUGACCGGUACGGGCCAUGAGAGUGGUAGCCCGGAGAUGGGCACUGAGACAAGGGCCCAGGCCCUACGGGGCGCAGCAGGCGCGCAACCUCCACAAUUCACGAAAGUGAGAUGGGGUUACCUCGAGUGCCGCCUGAAGAAGGCGGCUUUUCCAUUGUGUAAUGAGCCGUGGGAAUAAGGGGGGGGCAAGACUGGUGUCAGCCGCCGCGGUAACACCAGCCCCCCGAGUGGUGGGGAUGAUUAUUUGGCCUAAAGCGUCCGUAGCCGGCUCUGUAAACCUCUCGUUAAAUCCAACGUCCUAAGCGUUGGACUGCGAGGGAAACUGCACGGCUAGAGGGUGGGAGAGGUAUGCAGUAUUCUGGGGGUAGGGGCGAAAUCCAUUGAUCCCCGGAGGACCACCAGUGGCGAAGGCUGCAUACUAGAACACGCCUGACGGUCAGGGACGAAAGCUGGGGUAGCGAACCGGAUUAGAUACCCGGGUAGUCCCAGCCGUAAACGAU
rnacentral:rRNA from 1 species